GCGCCAGUAGCUCAGUUGGAUAGAGCAACGGCCUUCUAAGCCGUGGGUCGGGGGUUCGAAUCCCUCCUGGCGUG
rnacentral:tRNA from 1 species